UUGAGGGAAUGAGGGGGGCACAGGUGCUCCCCAUAGAGAUUCAUUUGGUCCCACAGUUCAUAUUAGUAGGCUGGUCUCUCUGCUUGUGUUUGCAGAGCUGUAACUGGAAGUACCAGAGGUCUGAAGUGAAGAAGGUGAAGAGAGGCGGGGUUGGUGUGCUGGCCUUUCCCCAUUAAGGAGAAUUACAGGAAGCCAGUGCCUCUCUCAAAUGCAGCAUUGCUGUGGCCAACAUAUCCUUCUUCCAGACAACUGAAUAUGGAAAAGAAUACGAAAGCAGAGACAGUCAGUCACCCCGGAUGGUUGUCAGCAUCCGGAUGGAUGAAUGCAGAACUUAAGAGCGGCCAUCUUCAUCCAGUCACCUGUGUGCCUGACUCAGAGAAGCGGCUUCUACCUGAGAAAUGAACAAACAGAGCCUUCAAAAACUCUUGGAAGAAACAAAGACAUUUCAACCAUUUGCACAACACAGAAGCUCUUCAGCGUGAGUCCUUAAAGGGCUGGAGGCUUGCUGGGAAGCUUUGAGGAGGAGAGUCAUAAAGAACAGAAGGUUUUACGAUGCAAGGUUGAAUGGGAAACUUUUAUUGGAGAGGCUUGGCCAGCUUCUGUCCCAUGGGAGAAAGGCGGAGGAAUCUGAAUGUACUGUUUUCUCUUCUGGAAGGUCAAAGCUAUUGCACACAACGGCAAAGCAGCAUAGAAGAAAUACCCUUUCUCCUCUGUCAUCACUGUCAGAAAUGGAGGAGGGGAAGAAGUCCCACACACCACAUUUCAGCAAAGCCCUGAAGGUAAAACUGAUCUGUCGGCUUGAAAUUUAUCUUAAUGAGCAAAAUCCAGCCAAUGGAACAGGGUGCAGAUGAAAGUGACAGAUGGAAUCAUUUAAAGUUUGAUUCUCUGCAUGAAAGAAAACAAUAUUUCUGAUAAGUUUGUGUGUGUUUUGUUUUUUUUUCUUUUGGUAGAUAGUGUUCUGCACAGAGUCACAGCCUCCAACUGGCAAUCCCAGCUCCUUGGCAGAUGAUUUUAUCUAGGGUCAGACUCACAGCUCUUGAAAAUUCAGAACCUGAGGGAGUUCUGGAACUCCUCAGCUCGUGAUACACCACAGCACUGAUCCAAAAGCCGGGGGCAGCAUUCCUUGGCCAAGAGGUUUGUGCUGGAUAGGAGCUGAGACCCUGAGUCUGAAGCUGCCCAGGAUCAGUGUACUGAGAAUACCAACAGCCAUCAACCAGGCAGGCUGGGAGAGCAUACAGAAACGUAUCAAUUUGUUCCCAAGUAUUUUCAGGCACAACCAACUGCAAGAAUUUACCACUGCUAUAUAAAAAUAUAGUCUGGGACCCAGGCAGGUCUGUAAAAAUUGCGUGAAGCUGGAGGAUGCAUUUCCUUGUGGGAGAUGUGCUGAAUGUUGAUGCUGAGAGGUGCUGUCAUACACCCCUUGUAACAGUAUCAUGCUAUUGCUUAUCCUUAAUAGGGGAAGGUAGGCAGAAGGAAUAGAAUCAGUGCUGUGCAAUAAAAUAAUAGCUGUUUUACCAUUUCCUUGCGCAGGUAAUUUUGCUGGCUGUAAUCUAGUGCAAACACAGCACAGUGUGUGCACAGCACCAGCAGACCAUGCCACCCGUGGCUGAGCAGGAACAAAAGCAUUACCAUUCUCCUUUCCCCAAUUAUUUCCCGAUUUGAUCAAUCAGCAGUUAACAAAGGUUCAAGACAAAAUAAAAGAGGUUUUCUGUUAGCUCCUAUAAUUUAAAAGCCUUCUUGGGUUGGAUUUUACAAAGCAAAAGGCAAGUGCUUGACCAUGCAUGAGCACCACUAGCAGCUUCCAAAUCCUGCUGUCCUGUAAGACAGACCCACAUGGGAUGUGUUAGCACCCUGCCAUGCUUCUGGGUCAGCUGGGAAGAGAAGAAAAGCUCUGCAAGGAAUUUCUGCAGCUGGAUUCCAGCAGCAGAUGGAAAUAGCUGCUCCUAUUUUCAUUUGGAGAAGUGGCAGCGCUGCACAUGCAGGGCUGGCAGUCAGAGCUGGGAUUCAAAGAGCAGCUGUGCCUCCGGGAAUGCAAAUGCAGAGCAGGGCAAAAUGUGGCCCCAGGCCAUCUGGCCCCAGUGGCUCCAAUUUGGGAUCAGGAGGUAAGGAUUUGUGCUUCCUGUUUUCUUCCUUUUAGCUAUUGCAAAGUGCGUUAACACUGAACACGAGGCAUUCUCAGGAAGCAACGAGGCUGCUGUGCUCCAUGUCCUUAAUUUCCACGUGGCCCAGCUGGGGUUUGUCUGGUUUGUCUGCUGAGUUGUAUGUUGAUUCUUGCCUAAAUCCAGAAGUUUCACUGCAAUAUAACAUGCAUAUUCCAAUUCCCUCAUGGAUUUGCGAUAGCAGAGGAGGAAGAUAGAGAGAAAGGUGACUUUUUUCUUCUUCUUCUUUUUCAUUGUCUUUUGUGAGAAGUCUUUCACACAUCAGGAUAGUGGAAGUCUUGCUUAAUGCCUCUUGUUUUUUUAUAUGGAGGGGAACGUUUGCUGGAUGCUCUUUUAUAAGACUAGAUUUGAAAUAAAGGACUGA